AAAUUUACAAUUUUUUUCCAUAACGCAUAAAUAAUCUUAUUCUCAUAACUUUUAUUUUCUACCAUUUUACAAUAUAUCGUUAUUAAUUUUUAUACUAUUUAAUUUCUUCCAAAAUAUAAUAAAAUAUCAAUUAAUAUUUUAUUAUCUCAAAAAUACUUAUUUCUAUAAUAAAAUUUACAAUACUUCUAUAAUUAACUUUACAUAUAAUUAACACUAUCCUAA
rnacentral:misc_RNA from 1 species